ensembl:lincRNA
ACAAUUGUUACAUUAAAAUGUAGUAAGCAUAUUGACUUCUUCUCUCAAUAAAUAGAUGAAUUGUCCAGGGUUUCUGCAGACCGACCAAAGGUGAUGAUCCCACAUCAGCAACAAGAGUCAGGAGGAAGACUUCAGAAGCAGGAAUGCAUAGAUCCAAGAAAGAUCAUAUGUGAAGCACCAGUCUAUGCUCUGUAUCUCGCCUUCCACUUUUCAAGGCAUCACUCUAAUGAAGAUCUCCUCCUUCAGCUGUGCUCUCCAUGGCCUCUGAACAUAUAACAUAGUCCUAGCUCACCCAAAUGAAACAAACAGACAAAGAAGAUCUGCUUCAAAAUGAUGGCUCUCUCAAUGGAGAAACCUGAAAAUGGCUGACAUCCUUUAAAGAAGACAGAUUCACACACACACACACACACACACACGCACACAUUCACGCGAUCUUUUUCACCCAUCCCCACCGUCCCCACAUUAAGCUACCGUUUUAUCACUUCUUCCACCUACCAGGACAUCUUUCUUUUUUUUUUUUUGAGACGGAGUUUUGCCCUUGUUGCCCAGGCUGGGGUGCAAUGGCACGAUCUCGGUUCACAGCAACUUCCGCCUCCCCAGUUCAAGCCAUUCUCCUGCUUCAGCCUACCAAGUAGCUGGGAUUAGGCAUGCACCACUAUACCUGGCUAAUUUUGUAUUUUUAGUAGAGACAGGGUUUCUCCACGUUGGUUAGGCUGGUUUCUCCACGUUGGUUAGAUGGGGUUUCUCCAUGUUGGUUGGGCUGAUCUCGAACUCCCGACCUCAGGUGAUCUGCCGCCUCGGCCUCCCAAAGUGCUGGUAUUACAGGCGUAAGCCACCACGCUGGCACAUCUCUCUUUUUUAAACUUUUAUUUUAGAUGCAAGGGGUACAUGUGCAAGUUCGUUACCUGGGUAUAUUGUGUGAUACUAAGGUCUGAGGUAUGAAUGAUCUUGUCACCCAGGUACUGAGCAUAGUACCUAAUAGUUUUUCAACCCUUGCCCUCUUCUCUUCCUCCCCCUCUGUUAGUCCCUAGUUUCUAUUGUUGCCAUCUUUGUGUCCAUGUGUAUUCAAUCUUGAUCUCCCACUUCUAAGUGAGGACAUGCAGUAUUCAGUGGUUUUGUUUCUGCAUCAGUUGGCUUAGGAUAACGGCCUCCGGCUGCAUCCCUGUUGCUGCAAAGGACAUGAGUUCAUCCUUUUUCAUGGCUGCAUAAUAUUCCAUGGUGUACACAUAUUAUAUUUUCUUUAUUCAAUCCCCCAUUGAUGGGCACUUAGAUUGAUUCCAUGUCUUUGCUAUUGUGAAUAGCACUGCAAUGAACAUGUGAAUGAAUGUGUCUUUUUGGUAGAAAGAUUUUCUUUCUUUUGGAUAUAUACCCAAUAAUGGGAUAAUAGGAUUGCUGUUCUUUGAGAAAUCUCCAAACUGCUUUCCACAGGGGCUGAACUCAUUUAUACUCCCACAAACAGUGUAUAAGCAUUCCCUUUUCUUUGCAGCCUCUACAGCAUCUGUUGUUUUUUUUCACUUUUUAGUAGUAGCUAUUCUGACUGGUGUGAGAUGGUAUCUCAUUGUGGUUUUGAUUUGCAUUUCUUUGAUGGCUAGUGAUGUGGAGCAUUUUGUCAUAUGUUUGCUAGUUGCUUGUAUAUCUUCUUUUGAAAAGUGCAGGACAUCUCAAUAUUUACUUUAACUCAACUCUGUGUAUGUGUGUGUGUGUGUGUGUGUGUGUGUGCAGGUAGGGAGGAAAACAAGGACAGAAACCAGGAGGCCCAGCCCAGGAUUAAAAACACACCACAGCCUUUCCAAAAAGUCAGAGUCAUACAUGGAUCACUUGGAAAUAACUGAACUUGCAAAUCCAGUUUCCCAUGGACCUGCUGAGUUUAUGAGGUAAGAGAAGGGAAGCGUUCACAUAAUGAGAGAUGAUUCUUUUCAUUACCAUGGUUGCAAAUUUGAUGAUGGCAGGAGCAUUUGUGCUUGGCUACAGGAUUCCAAUUCCUGCCUGAGAUUUCAGAACACCCUUCCUGCCCUUCUUUGAAGAUGGCCAGGAUACUUGAGGAUGCCUUGC